GAGCGGAUCGCACUGGUCUUAGCACCGGCGACAUAUCCUUCAAGUGUCUGCCUUAUCAACUUUCGAUGGUAGUUUAUAUGCCUACCCUGGUUGUAACGGGUAACGGAAAAUCAGGGUUUGAUUCCGGAGAGGGCGCCUGAGAAAUGGCGACCACUUCUAAGGAAGGCAGCACGCGUGUAACUUACCCACUCUCAGAUCGAGGAGGUAGUGACGAAAAAUAUCGAGCUGGCGGUUUCAUACUGCCAGCAUCGGAAUGAGAACAAUGUCAACGUGUUAUCGAGUAACUAGCAGAGGGCAAGUCUGGUGCCAGCAGCCGCGGUAAUUCCAGCUCUGCAAGUGUAUGUCAAUGUUGCUGCGGUUAAAAAGCUCGUAGUUGGAUCUGUGUGAUUUGGUCCGGU
rnacentral:rRNA from 1 species